CCUACGGGUGGCAGCAGUGGGGGAUAUUGCACAAUGGGGGAAACCCUGAUGCAGCGACGCCGCGUGGGUGAAGAAGUAUUUCGGUAUGUAAAGCCCUAUCAGCAGGGAAGAAAGAAGACGGUACCUGACUAAGAAGCCCCGGCUAACUACGUGCCAGCAGCCGCGGUAAUACGUAGGGGGCGAGCGUUAUCCGGAUUCACGGGGUGUAAAGGGAGCGUAGACGGCCGUGCAAGCCAGGAGUGAAAGCCCGGGGCCCAACCCCGGAACUGCUCUUGGAACUGUGCGGCUGGAGUGCGGGAGGGGCAGGCGGAAUUCCUGGUGUAGCGGUGAAAUGCGUAGAUAUCAGGAGGAACACCGGCUGCGAAGGCGGCCUGCUGGACCGCGACUGACGUUGAGGCUCGAAAGCGUGGGGAGCGAACAGGAUUAGAUACCCUUGUAGUC
rnacentral:rRNA from 1 species